CCAACCUAUGUUAACCCCUCCCCGAAAAGGGUCACCCAGUUCUUACAUGGCCCUACCUCCCAAAGGAAAAGACAAAAUCACCUAAAAAUUUGGGGAAAAAGACAAAACAAAAGCACAAAACUAAUCCACACCUAAAACCCUCGCAAUUACACACUAACACGAGGACCUCCUCGCAAAAACGCCCCCAUUAAAUCCCCCAUCCCCGCCCGUCGUCUUCUUCCUCCUCCUCCCCACACUCGCAUCGCGUCGCAUCGCAAGCGCGACCGACCAACCAGCCAGCCAGCCAAGCAAACCAAGCCAAGAAACACCAAGGAGCCUCGAGCCUUCCAAAACAAGCCAAAGAUUUAUUUCCCGAGCGCGCGGGAUGCUGUGAACCUGCCCAUGGCACCGCCACAGGAGCGCGACUACAUCNNN
rnacentral:lncRNA from 1 species